rnacentral:rRNA from 1 species
CUACGGGGCGCUCCAGUGAGGAAUAUUGCACAAUGGGGGAACCCCGAUGCAGCAACGCCGCGUGGAGGAUGACGCAUUUCGGUGUGUAAACUCCUUUUAUAUGUCAAGGAAAUGACGGUAGCAUAUGAAUAAGCACCGGCUAACUCCGUGCCAGCAGCCGCGGUAAUACGGAGGGUGCAAGCGUUACUCGGAAUCACUGGGCGUAAAGGACGCGUAGGCGGGUUGAAAAGUCAGGUGUGAAAUCCUACAGCUUAACUGUAGAACUGCACUUGAAACUUCUAAUCUAGAGUAUGGGAGGGGGAGAUGGAAUUAGUGGUGUAGGGGUAAAAUCCGUAGAUAUCACUAGGAAUACCUAAAGCGAAGGCGAUCUCCUGGAACAUUACUGACGCUAAGGCGUGAAAGCGUGGGGAGCAAACAGGAUUAGAUACCCGGGUAGUC